AAAUUGAAGAGUUUGAUCAUGGCUCAGAUUGAACGCUGGCGGCAGGCCUAACACAUGCAAGUCGAGCGGAAACGAGUUAUCAGAACCUUCGGGGRACGAUARCGGCGUCGAGCGGCGGACGGGUGAGUAAUGCCUAGGAAAUUGCCCUGAUGUGGGGGAUAACCAUUGGAAACGAUGGCUAAUACCGCAUGAUGCCUACGGGCCAAAGAGGGGGACCUUCGGGCCUCUCGC
rnacentral:rRNA from 1 species